ensembl:snRNA U7 U7 small nuclear RNA
AAGUGUUACAGCUCUUUUAUAAUUGGUCUAGCGGGUUUUCUGGUUUGCACUAGAAAACCCAU